ACACACACUGGAAUAAUGAGGUACUACAAGUCCCAGCUUCAUCAAGAAAUAGAUAAUUACACAGUGGAGCAGAACAGCAAGGCUCAACCAUCCUGAGGAGCGGUCUGAGGGACAGGCUGGACAGAUGGUCAGCGUCAGAUUGCCAACCAGAAUGUUUCUUUUUUCAGGACAACUUAUCCCAAAAUCACAGACAGCCUACACAAAUUGGAAAACAAUGAAUGGAGAAGAUUAUAAGAAAUACAUUUCUAUAGCUCAAUAUACCAAUCUGAACUCUUUACCACCAUUUACUGCGAGCUGUAGGAUCACAAUAGUCACCACCAAAAUAAUCUAGGCAAGUACCACCACCCUUUAAAAAAAAUUACGGACACAUCAAUCUUUUUUUCACAGACACAAGAAAAAAAAAUCACCAAUUUUUGCGGACUGUCCAGAAAUUUCUGGACGGUUGGCAACCCUGGCCAGCGUCUAGCCUGGCAUCCGGUGGGAUGGGCUCUGCUUAUGCAUGACCGAUGCCUCCUGUGUGAGGGAAGGAGACAAGACCGGCCUUACGGGACAUCGAAGUAAUUAUUAAUGGCCAUUAGUAGAGCUGGUGUAAAAUUAUUACCAGCCCUAACGACGUGCUUUUCACCACUCCAGCAGACGCCUGGCACUGUGCGCUCAGAGCUUAGGCUGAUAUGCAGCUGCUCCGUCACC